rnacentral:lncRNA from 1 species
GAACUGCAAAAUAACUGUUAGCUGUGUCGUCCAAGAUCAAAAACAUUCUGGAUAAACCUCUUUCAAGUAAAUUUAAUCAGAAGAAAACAAAAAAACAAAACAAAAUAAAUUUCAUGAAAAGUAAACUGGUUUGUAACGAAUUCUUAUACCCAUGAAGUGUUUCACCCUGGUUUUGUUUGAUAGGUUUUGUGCAGCCAAUAGAUUGAACUGAAUUCAACCUUGCUAGCUCAUUGGCAUGCCAUAUUUUGCGGUGUCUUAAUUCAAAUGCACACCAUGUGUCCACACACCAAUAUCCAACACCAC